GUGUUAGUUCGCUAAACACAUAUACUAAAAUUGGAACGAAUACAGAGAAGAUUAGCAUGGCCCCUGCGCAAGGCAUGACAGCAAAAAUUCGUGAAGCGUUCCUCAUUUUG
rnacentral:snRNA from 1 species